CGGGACCGAGCAGGCGUCUGCGUCCGCGGGCUGGCUUGGAAGUUUCUGGCCUCUAGAUGCUCCCAGUUGAAAACGCAGCUUUGGAAAGAGGCUCAGUCGGCCCCGCUUUGUAGUGGAGUCCAGCAUCAAAGUCAUCCCCGCGAAGAUCCAAAGGAAUAAAUAAAUCUCGUCGUCCGCUGAGACCGUCACCUUCUCCCCAUCCGCUCCUCCCUCGCGCCAGCCCCACCCCGAACGCCUCGGUUGCAAAAACAAAUAAAAUAAAGCAAAACCUCUUGCUUUGGCAA